CUCUCCGGCCGCUGGGGCCGGGUGUUCACAGUGCGGCUGGGCCCGCGCCCUGCGGUGGUGCUGUGCGGCUACGCAGCGCUGCGGGACGCGUUAGUGCUACAGGCGGAUGCGGUCUCCGGCCGCGGGUCCAUGGCAGUCUUCGAACGCUUCACACGCGGAAACAGAAUCUUGUUUUCUAACCGGCCGUGCUGGUGGACACUGCGCAAUUUUGCACUUGGAGCGCUUAAGAAGUUCGGGUUGGGUACGCGGACCCUCGAGGCGCGCGUCCUGGAGGAGGCGGCUUGUCUGCUAAACGAAUUUCAAGCCACCAUUGAGCCCCGUUUGACCCCGUGCGGCUACUGGAUAAUGCUGUAUCCAAUGUUAUCUGUUCUUGUCUUCGGGAACCGCUAUGGCUACGGGGACCCGGAGUUCCUGAGGCUCCUGAACCUCUUCAGUGACAACUUCCGCAUCAUUAGUUCCAGAUGGGGCGAGAUGUACACUUGCCCGUCUCUCAUGGACUGGCUCCCGGGCCCGCACCACCGAAUCUUCUGAAACUUUUCGGAGCUGCGGGUAAUCUCUGAGCAAAUCCAACGACACUGGCAGAUGCGGCAGCCAGCGGAGCCCCGCGAUUUCAUUGACUGCGUGACCAGAUGGGUAAGGCAUGGCAGGACCCGGAGAGCCAUUUCCAGGAGUAGACGUCGGUAAUGACGACGCAUUUUUUUUUUUUUUUUGGCGUCACCGAAACCACGAGCACCACCCUGUGCUAUGGGCUCCUCAUUCUGCUUAAGUACCCAGAGGUGGCAGCCAAGGUGCAGGAGCUGGACCCUGUGGUAGGGUGGAGGCCCGCCCCAAGCCUGGACUAUCCCGUGUGCCUGCCCUACACCAACGCAGUGCUGCUCGAGAUCCAGUGCUUCAUCAGCGUGGUGCCCCUGGGGCUGCCGCGCACCCUCACCCUCGACACCCACCUGCACAGCCACUGUCUGCCCAAAGGGCACUUUUGUGAUUCCCCUGCUUGUGACUGCGCACCGGGACCCCACUCAAUUCAAGGACCCAGACUGCUUCAACCCUACCAACUUCCUGGACAAGGGCAAGUUCCAGGGCAAUGAUGCUUUCAUGCCCUUUGCCUCAGGUGCAGGCAGAGGAAGAAGGGGACCAGCCUGGACUGGCUCUGGGGUGCCUGGUGCUCACUAUGCACCUGUGUACCCGGCAAAGCAGAUGUGCCUGGGCAUAGGCCUGGCCCACUCGGGUAUCUUCUUAUUCCUUACGGCCACCUUACAGAGGUUCUGCCUGCUCCCUGUGGUACACCCUGGCACCAUCAACCUCACCUGCAGUGCGCUGGCCUGGGCAGUGUCCCCCCCAGACUUCCAGCUCCAGCCUGCUGAGG
rnacentral:sRNA from 1 species